GACAGAGGUGCCAAGCGUUAGGCGGAAUCACUGGGCUUAAAGCGUGUGUAGGCGGGUGCCUAAGUACCUUGUGAAAUCCCACGGCUCAACCGUGGAACUGCUGGGUAUACUGGGUGCCUUGGGUCAUCUAGGGGCUGCCGGAACAAAUGGUGGAGCGGUGAAAUGCGUAGAUAUCAUUUGGAACGCCAACGGCGAAAGCAGGCAGCUGGGGAUGCACCGACGCUGAGACACGAAAGCCAGGGGAGCGAACAGG
rnacentral:rRNA from 1 species